rnacentral:tRNA from 1 species
UGGCGGUUAAUCUAACUAAGAUACUUGAUUUCGGCUCGAACAACAGCGGUUUAACUCCGCUACCGUCGU